UACGUAGGCAGCAAGCGUUGUUCGGAAUUACUGGGCGUAAAGAGUGUGUAGGCGGUGCUCUAAGUCUGUUGUGAAAUCUCCCGGCUUAACUGGGAGGGUGCGGCGGAAACUGGAGUGCUCGAGGGUGGGAGAGGUGAAGCGGAAUCCUGGUGUAGCGGUGAAAUGCGUAGAUAUCAGGAGGAACACCUGUGGUGUAGACAGCUUACUGGACCACUUCUGACGCUGAGACACGAAAGCGUGGGUAGCAAACAGG
rnacentral:rRNA from 1 species